rnacentral:rRNA from 1 species
UAAACGUCUCAGUUCGGAUUGUAGUCUGCAACUCGACUACAUGAAGCUGGAAUCGCUAGUAAUCGCGAAUCAGAAUGUCGCGGUGAAUACGUUCCCGGGUCUUGUACACACCGCCCGUCACACCAUGGGAGUCGGUAAUGCCCGAAGUCAGUGACCCAACCGGAAGGAGGGAGCUGCCGAAGGCAGGACUGGUAACUGGGGUGAAGUCGUAACAAGGUAGC